rnacentral:lncRNA from 1 species
AAUUUAAUUAAUACGUCAUGAAGUGGAAUAAUCUAGAUUCUUCCUUUACAAAGACGUAAAACAGAGGGUAUAGAAACACAGACUAAGAGACCAAGAGUCUUAAUUAAGGAGGUUUGGUAUACCACUUAACCCUAAUCAAUCCACUACUUACUUGAUAAAGACAUAUUCUCAUCAUGUAUAUUUGAUUAGAUUAGCUAGGCUCGUAAUAUGGGACAAAACCCCGAAGAUGAGCAAGAAAUGCUUUGAAAGAUUUUAUCGUAGCAUGAGUGUCAUAUCUGCACCCUUCAGUGCUCCCUUGUAAAAUCAAAGUAUCUGAGUAUAGAUACUUAAUAGGUUUAAGUGUUCUUCGAUCUUGGACGAUAUGUUCCAACUUAUACUGAUACAGAGGUUAUACAGAUUUUUGGUUUUUCUAAUAAAAUAAAUUGUUUGCUGAAAGAUUGCUAUACCUUUAACAAUUUUAUUUUGUUUGUUAG